UGAGAGUCGGGAGGCGCUGAUCCGCCGGCGGCUUCGCACGGCCACCACGCACCGGCGGGGAGCCACUGGUGAGACCGGCCCGCGGGCCG
rnacentral:ncRNA from 1 species